UUGCUGUGUUUACCAUUCUAUUUCACUUACCCAUAUCAUGAUAUCUGAAGUGAAAUUGAAAGGUGAAUGCAGCGACACGGUUGGCUCCAUCAUGCUAAUAAUAACCACCAUUGAUCAUGUAAUCAGUGCUCUGUGUGUGUGUUUGUGUGUGACCGACCAGUAUCUUUGAUGAGGGGCCAGGAGUUGAUCUACACUGCCAUGCCUAUCAAUGGGGCACUGGCAAAGAUCUCACAUCCAGCCUCACCUCUUGGCUGCUCACCAACGGUUGUCGAUGAGGAUACCAGAAUUAGAUGCAUCUAUGUAGCCAGCACUUGGAGACUUGCAAGAUUAUGUGAUGGAGUCCUAACAGACAGGCUUGAUACUGACGUCUCUGAAUGGAGAGAGACCUGGCGGCAAUCAAAACAUCCACAAUGUUGGACUGAAGAUGGAGAGGACUGUAGAUGCUUUUGCCAGACGCCAGCCUCAGUCGUUUGAUGGGGAGACCAUAAUUGGGUAGGUUUUAUCUGAUCAGUUCAAACUUCAACAUAGUACCUGUUUGUUUAUCAGAUAUUACCUAUCCUAACUGCCAUUAGUAAUAGAACAGUUACUAUGUGUUCACAUGUAUGGAGCCAUCACAUGGAAACUUGCAAGAUGAUGUGAUGAAGUCCAGACUGAA